rnacentral:misc_RNA from 1 species
GGCAGAAAUGGUGAAGAAUCCUAGCAUAAUGAAGAAAGCCCAGGAAGAAGUGAGGAAGGUCUUUGGUGAAAAGGGAGACAUGGAUGAUUCUUCAGGUCAUGGUGAAUUAAAAUAUUUGAAGUUAGUCAUCAAAGAAACCUUAAGACUGCAUCCUCCAGUGGCAUUGAUUCCAAGAGAAUGUGGUGAGAAAUCUGAGCUAAAUGGGUAUGACAUUUAUCCCAAAACUAAAGUUCUUGUCAAUGCAUGGGCAAUUGGGAGGGAUCCUAAUUCAUGGAAGGAUUCUGAAAAUUUUGAUCCAGAGAGAUUUCUUGAUAGCU